AUGGACGGGCUGCUGCUGCUCUGCUUCUUCCUCUGGACCGUGGUUACCACGGGACAGUUCGCCGUCGCCGGCGCAGCCUCCAGCUCCAAGGUGGUGACCAGCCUCCCCGGGUUGCCGGGUCGCCUCCCCUUCCACCUCGAGACCGGGUACGUGGAGGUGGACGAGGAGAACGGCGCCGAGCUGUUCUACUACUUCGUCGAGUCCGAGGCCGGCGCGGAGGACGCCCCUUUCCUCCUCUGGCUCACCGGCGGCGACCGCUGCUCGGUGCUCAGCGGCCUCACCUUAGAGAUUGGUCCAUUCCAGUUCGUCCCGGAGCCUUACAAUGGCACCGUACCGCGUCUGAGAAUCAAUCCGUACUCAUGGACCAAGGUGGCAAAUAUCCUUUUCGUUGAUACACCGGUUGGGGCUGGAUUUUCCUUUUCAAGACGACCCGAAGGCUACGAUGUCGGGGAAGUAUCCACCUCGUUGCAGCUCCAUGAACUCCUUCUCAAGUGGUUCACUGGCCAUCCCAAGUUCCUCACAAAUCCUCUCUACCUCGGAGGAGACUCCCUUGCUGGACAUCUUGUACCAUUUAUCGCUCAAAAGAUCUCGGAAGGUAUCGAAGCUGGAAGGAGCCCCAUCCUUAAUCUCAAGGGCUAUUUGGUAGGCAACCCGAUGACGGGUGAAAUCAUUGAUGAAAGCUCGAAAGUGUCAUAUGCUCAUGGAGUUGGUAUAAUACCAGAUCAAUUAUACGAGACGAUAUUGAAGCAUUGCCAAGGAGAAGACUACAGGAAACCUACAAAUACACCGUGUGCCCAAGCUCUGGGCACUUUCAACAAUCUACGCUCCGAAGUUAUGACGGCACAAAUUUUGUUAGACGAUUGCUAUCUUGUAUCCCCUGGACCAGGCACCCAGACGGACAAGUCAGCUAGUGCUAUUCGGAAGAUCCUAAGCGAGGAAACAGUGAUCGUGACGGGGAGGCGAGUGAAGCAUCCGCCACCUCGUGUACCAAUUGGCUGUUAUAUUCAGAGCUACACGUCUUACCUGUCGUAUUUCUGGGCAAACCACGCGCUCACCCGAGACGCCCUGGGGAUCAAGGACGGCACCGUGGACGAGUGGGUGAGGUGCCACGACGGCGACCUGCCGUACGCCGUGGACAUCGGGAGCAGCAUCAAGUACCACCGGAAUGUCACCGUCAAUGGCUACCGUGCGCUGGUGUACAGCGGCGACCACGAUGCGAUUGUGCCGCACCUGGGGACGCAGGCGUGGGUGAGGUCGCUCGGCUUUCCCGUCGUCGACGACUGGAGGGCGUGGCAUCUCGACGGCCAGUCUGCCGGAUUCACCAUAACUUACUCUAACAACAUGACCUUCGCGACCGUAAAGGGAGCUGGGCACACGGCGCCUCAGUAUGAGCCCGAGCGGUGCUACGCCAUGUUCAGCCGUUGGGUACUGCACCAGCCACUCUAG
rnacentral:rRNA from 1 species